GACGUAGGGAGCGAGCGUUGUCCGGAUUCAUUGGGCGUAAAGCGCGCGUAGGCGGCUUUGCAAGUCGGUUGUGAAAACCAGAGGCUCAACCUCUGGCCUGCAUCCGAAACUGCAUCGCUUGAGGUAGGUAGGGGAGAUCGGAAUUCCUGGUGUAGCGGUGGAAUGCGCAGAUAUCAGGAGGAACACCGGUGGCGAAGGCGGAUCUCUGGGCCUUACCUGACGCUGAGGUGCGAAAGCUAGGGGAGCGAACAGG
rnacentral:rRNA from 1 species